AAGGAGCAUCUAGCUGCCGCAAGGCAGCCAGAGCCACUACGUCGGCGAAUGAUCGACGGUGGUUAGCUCAUGGGUGGAACGUUGACUACUCGGCACACUUGACCUUCUGGUCUUCCUAGUACUGCUUCGGCGUGGAACGGAACGGCUGGGUGGCGAGGGUGUCGGGCACGCUGUUGGGUGUCUGAGGGAAUGAACUUUCCUCAGUUGCCGGCCCCGGUAAAGAUCCGCUUCGGUGGGUUGUGACGGGUGGCUGGUCGUUG
rnacentral:misc_RNA from 1 species